rnacentral:rRNA from 1 species
GACGAACCGUCCUAACGUUGUUCGGAAUCACUGGGCUUAAAGGGCGCGUAGGCGGUCGGCAAAGUCAGGGGUGAAAUCUUUCGGCUCAACCGGAAAAGUGCCUUUGAAACUAGUCGGCUCGAGUGAGAUAGGGGCAUGUGGAACUUCCGGUGGAGCGGUGAAAUGCGUUGAUAUCGGAAGGAACGCCGGUGGCGAAAGCGACAUGCUGGAUCUCUUCUGACGCUGAGGCGCGAAAGCUAGGGGAGCAAACGGG